AUUGAACGCUGGCGGCGUGCCUAACACAUGCAAGUCGAGCGGCAGCGCGGGAGCAAUCCUGGCGGCGAGCGGCGGACGGGUGAGUAACGCUUGGGAAUCUGCCUGUUAGUGGGGGACAACCCGGGGAAACUCGGGCUAAUACCGCAUACGCACUACGGUGGAAAGCCGGGGACCGCAAGGCCUGGCGCUAACAGAUGAGCCCAAGUCGGAUUAGCUAGUUGGCAGGGUAACGGCCUACCAAGGCGACGAUCCGUAACUGGUCUGAGAGGACGACCAGUCACACCGGAACUGAGACACGGUCCGGACUCCUACGGGAGGCAGCAGUGGGGAAUAUUGGACAAUGGGGGAAACCCUGAUCCAGCGACGCCGCGUGGGUGAAGAAGGCCUGCGGGUUGUAAAGCCCUUUCAGUGGGGAAGAAAGCCUCGACCUAAUACGUUGGGUCUUGACGUAACCCAUAGAAGAAGCACCGGCUAACUCUGUGCCAGCCGCCGCCGUAAC
rnacentral:rRNA from 1 species